AGAGUUUGAUCCUGGCUCAGGAUGAACGCUGGCGGCGUGCCUAAUACAUGCAAGUCGAGCGAACUUCUUAAGAGCUUGCUCUUAAGAAGUUAGCGGCGGACGGGUGAGUAACACGUGGGUAACCUGCCUAUAAGACUGGGAUAACUCCGGGAAACCGGGGCUAAUACCGGAUAAUAUUUUGAACCGCAUGGUUCAAAAUU
rnacentral:rRNA from 1 species